GAUGAACGCUGGCGGCGUGCCUAAUACAUGCCAGUCGAGCGAGCAGAUAAGGAGCUUGCUCCUUUGACGUUAGCGGCGGACGGGUGAGUAACACGUGGGUAACCUACCUAUAAGACUGGAAUAACUCCGGGAAACCGGGGCUAAUGCCGGAUAACAUUUAGAACCGCAUGGUUCUAAAGUGAAAGAUGGUUUUGCUAUCACUUAUAGAUGGACCCGCGCCGUAUUAGCUAGUUGGUAAGGUAACGGCUUACCAAGGCAACGAUACGUAGCCGACCUGAGAGGGUGAUCGGCCACACUGGAACUGAGACACGGUCCAGACUCCUACGGGAGGCAGCAGUAGGGAAUCUUCCGCAAUGGGCGAAAGCCUGACGGAGCAACGCCGCGUGAGUGAUGAAGGUCUUCGGAUCGUAAAACUCUGUUAUUAGGGAAGAACAAAUGUGUAAGUAACUGUGCACGUCUUGACGGUACCUAAUCAGAAAGCCACGGCUAACUACGUG
rnacentral:rRNA from 1 species